rnacentral:misc_RNA from 1 species
CAGAGUUGCAAAACUCCCUAAACCAUUGUGAACCUUACCACUAAACAGUUGCUUCGGCGGGUGGCGCGAGGGCCUCCCCUUCACGGGGGGGCCGGAGCGCCCUAGACAGCCCGCCGGAGGUACUCAAACUCUUUGCUUAAUAAGGCCUCUCUGAGUAUUGUACUUAAAUAAGUCA